rnacentral:rRNA from 1 species
UACGUAGGGGGCGAGCGUUGUCCGGAUUUAUUGGGCGUAAAGGGCUCGUAGGCGGUUUGGUAAGUUGGAUGUGAAAUCUCCAGGCUCAACUUGGAGGGGUCAUUCGAUACUGCCAUGACUAGAGUUCGGUAGGGGAGUGUGGAAUUCCUGGUGGAGCGGUGAAAUGCGCAGAUAUCAGGAAGAACACCAAUGGCGAAGGCAGCUCUCUGGGACGGUACUGACGCUGAGACGCGAAAGCGUGGGGAGCGAACAGG